UCCACCAUGGCCUGGUCCCCUAUCCUUCUCACCCUCAUCGCUCACUGCACAGGAUCCUGGGCCCAGUCUGUGCUGACUCAGCCAGCCUCAGUGUCUGGGGCCCUGGGCCAGAGGGUCACCAUCUCCUGCACUGGAAGCAGCUCCAACAUUGGGGGUAAUUAUGUAUCCUGGUACCAACAGCUCCCAGGAACAGCCCCCAAAACCCUCAUCUAUAGUAACAGCCAACGCCCCUCUGGGGUCCCCGAUCGAUUCUCUGGCUCCAAGUCUGGCAAUUCGGCCUCCCUGACCAUCACUGGGCUGAAGUCUGAGGACGAGGCUGAUUAUUACUGUGUGUCCUAUGAUGACAGCCUGAGUGCUGGCACAGUGCUCCAGGCCCGUGGGGAAUUUGGCAACUCAGGCUCCUUGACCAUCAUCACUGGCUGA